UACGUAGGGGGCAAGCGUUGUCCGGAUUUAUUGGGCGUAAAGAGCGUGUAGGCGGCCAUACAGGUCAGCUGUGAAAACUCGAGGCUCAACCUCGAGACGUCGGUUGAAACCGUAUGGCUAGAGUCCGGAAGAGGAGAGUGGAAUUCCCGGUGUAGCGGUGAAAUUCGUAGAUAUCGGGAGGAACACCAGUGGCGAAGGCGGCGACCUGGGCCAAUAUUGACGCUGAGGUGCGAAAAGCGUGGGGAGCAAACAGG
rnacentral:rRNA from 1 species